rnacentral:tRNA from 1 species
GGGCCUGUAGCUCAGUUGGUUAGAGCAUCUGACUCAUAAUCAGAGGGUCGGGAGUUCGAUUCUCUCCGGGCCCA